rnacentral:rRNA from 1 species
UGGGGAAUUUUGGACAAUGGGCGAAAGCCUGAUCCAGCAAUGCCGCGUGUGUGAAGAAGGCCUUCGGGUUGUAAAGCACUUUUGUCCGGAAAGAAAUCCUUGGCUCUAAUACAGUCGGGGGAUGACGGUACCGGAAGAAUAAGCACCGGCUAACUACGUGCCAGCAGCCGCGGUAAUACGUAGGGUGCAAGCGUUAAUCGGAAUUACUGGGCGUAAAGCGUGCGCAGGCGGUUUGCUAAGACCGAUGUGAAAUCCCCGGGCUCAACCUGGGAACUGCAUUGGUGACUGGCAGGCUAGAGUAUGGCAGAGGGGGGUAGAAUUCCACGUGUAGCAGUGAAAUGCGUAGAGAUGUGGAGGAAUACCGAUGGCGAAGGCAGCCCCCUGGCCAAGUACUGACGCUCAUGCACGAAAGCGUGGGGAGCAAACNGGAUUAAUACCCUGGUAGUCCACGCCCUAAACGAUGUCAACUAGUUGUUGGGGGAUUUCAUUUUCCUUAGUAACGUAGCUAACGCGUGAAGUUGACCGCCUGGGGAGUACGGUCGCAAGAUUAAAACUCAAAUAAUUGACGGGGUCAUGCUGUUU